rnacentral:tRNA from 1 species
GCCGCAGUAGCUCAGUCGGUAGAGCGGCGCAUUCGUAAUGCGUAGGUCGGGGGUUCGAAUCCCUUCUGCGGCA